GUUUCUUUGUGACAAUCUGGAUUGCCGUGCUGAUGUCAAAGUAAAAUUAUAGGGACAAUAUUCCAUGAAGUUUCCCCAUCUAUCAUGAUGGUGGAAGUGGAACUAUAUAGAGCAGCUGGAGAUACUUGAGAGUAUAACAAGGAUGUCCUUUCACAUGAUUCUAUGAUUACCCGAGUCCAUGAAGCAAUCAAUAAUCUUCCUGAAAUAUUUUAUGUCUAAGCGCACAAUGAUUGAACAAUUGCCUCAAUAAAUUUGGUUAUGUAGCAUGCGGAUGAGACGAGACAAGUAUGCCUCAAUAAAUUUGUAAAUUAAACUACUGACUUUGAGCACUAUGAGUUAUUGGAACUAUGUUCAAAUGGAUGAUUGCAAAAAUAUUAUCCUUUUUUUAUGUUGUUGUACUGUUAUAUAAAUAAAAAAAAUUAGCUCA